rnacentral:tRNA from 1 species
GGGGUUGUGGCUCAGUGGUAGAGUGCUUUCCUAGCAUGUGUGAAGCACUGGGUUUGAUUCUCAGCAACCCCA